rnacentral:tRNA from 1 species
GCGCUCGUGGUGGAACUCAGGUAGACACGCCGGAUUCAGAAGCCGGUGCCGGAAGGCGUGGGGUUCGACUCCCCCCGAGCGCA